GAGCUUGGCGGUGUUUUAGACCUCUCAGGGGAACCUGUCUCAUAAUCGACAAUCCACGUUAAACCUAACCUUUGAUAGUAAUUCAGCCUGUAUACCGUCGUCGUCAGGUAACUUCUCAAAAUAUAGUAGUUAGCUUGAGAAUUAUAUUAAUUAAAACGUCAGAUCAAGGUGCAGCUAAUGAAAAGGUGAGGAUGGGUUACAAUUACAUAUUUGUAAACACGGAAAACAUUUGAAAAAAUGUCUUAAAGGAGGACUUGAAAGUAAUUUUGAUUAUAUAAGCAGAAUGAAUAGGGCUCUGAAACGUGCACACAUCGCCCGUCGCUCUCGUUGAAAAAUGAGAUAAGUCGUAACAUAGUAGGGGUAAUGGAAAUUGUUCCUAGGC
rnacentral:rRNA from 1 species